GACGAACGCUGGCGGCGUGCUUAACACAUGCAAGUCGAACGGAAAGGCCCUGCUUUUGUGGGGUGCUCGAGUGGCGAACGGGUGAGUAACACGUGAGUAACCUGCCCUUGACUUUGGUAUAACUUCAGGAAACUGGGGCUAAUACCGGAUAGGAUCUCCUGCUGCAUGGUGGGGGUUGGAAAGUUUCGGCGGUUGGGGAUGGACUCGCGGCUUAUCAGCUUGUUGGUGGGGUAGUGGCUUACCAAGGCUUUGACGGGUAGCCGGCCUGAGAGGGUGACCGGCCACAUUGGGACUGAGAUACGGCCCAGACUCCUACGGGAGGCAGCAGUGGGGAAUAUUGCACAAUGGGCGGAAGCCUGAUGCAGCAACGCCGCGUGCGGGAUGACGGCCUUCGGGUUGUAAACCGCUUUCGCCUGUGACGAAGCGUGAGUGACGGUAAUGGGUAAAGAAGCACCGGCUAACUACGUG
rnacentral:rRNA from 1 species